UACGGAGGGUGCAAGCGUUAUUCGGAAUUACUGGGCGUAAAGCGCGUGCAGGCGGUCAGGCAAGUCUGAUGUGAAAGCCCCGGGCUUAACCUGGGAAGUGCAUUGGAAACUGCAUGACUUGAGUACUGGAGAGGAAGGGAGAAUUCCCGGUGUAGAGGUGAAAUUCGUAGAGAUCGGGAGGAACACCAGUGGCGAAGGCGCCCUUCUGGACGGUUACUGACGCUGAGACGCGAAAGCGUGGGGAGCAAACAGG
rnacentral:rRNA from 1 species